rnacentral:tRNA from 1 species
GCCAAUAUGGUGUAGUGGUUUGAGUGCUAGACUACAACUCUGGAGACCAGGGUUCAAUACCUAGCUCGGCCA